rnacentral:rRNA from 1 species
GAUGAACGCUGGCGGCGUGCCUAAUACAUGCAAGUCGAGCGAACGGACGAGAAACUUGCUUCUCUGAUGUUAGCGGCGGACGGGUGAGUAACACGUGGAUAACCUACCUAUAAGACUGGGAUAACUUCGGGAAACCGGAGCUAAUACCGGAUAAUAUUUUGAACCGCAUGGUUCAAAAGUGAAAGACGGUCUUGCUGUCACUUAUAGAUGGAUCCGCGCUGCAUUAGCUAGUAGGUAAGGUAACGGCUUACCAAGGCAACGAUGCAUAGCCGACCUGAGAGGGUGAUCGGCCACACUGGAACUGAGACACGGUCCAGACUCCUACGGGAGGCAGCAGUAGGGAAUCUUCCGCAAAGGGCGAAAGCCUGACGGAGCAACGCCGCGUGAGUGAUGAAGGUCUUCGGAUCGUAAAACUCUGUUAUUAGGGAAGAACAUAUGUGUAAGUAACUGUGCACAUCUUGACGGUACCUAAUCAGAAAGCCACGGCUAACUACGUG